CAGUAGCCACGGUAAUACGUAGGUGGCAAGCGUUAUCCGGAAUUAUUGGGCGUAAAGCGCGCGUAGGCGGUUUUUUAAGUCUGAUGUGAAAGCCCACGGCUCAACCGUGGAGGGUCAUUGGAAACUGGACAACUUGAGUGCAGAAGAGGAAAGUGGAAUUCCAUGUGUAGCGGUGAAAUGCGCAGAGAUAUGGAGGAACACCAGUGGCGAAGGCGACUUUCUGGUCUGUAACUGACGCUGAUGUGCGAAAGCGUGGGGAUCAAACAGGAUUAGAUACCCCAGUAGUCCCUGUCUCUUAUAC
rnacentral:rRNA from 1 species